CCGGCAACCAGACGUUCAGCUUCUGAAGAUGAUUUUAGCACGAUCUCCUUUACUUGACUGUCGAGCUUCUGAAUCUCAGCAACCUUCUCGCACAGGUCUGUCCCU